rnacentral:lncRNA from 1 species
AUGGCUGCCGGGACCCUCACUGGUUUCCACCCUUCCUCUUUUCCUCCCCGCGGAGCUGCCGGUCCUCUUCCUGCUUGUACCCCUGGUGUGGGAAGAACUCGAGAACCACUGGGCCCUGAGUCCACAGCAGGUGACUCAGGGGUGGGCGUCACCAUGAGCAGCUCUGGGCCCUAUGCCCGGGGAGCCUGCCCACCGGGUGACACGGGGAGUGCAUGCUCCUGGACACUCGGGUCAGCGUGGGCUCAAAGCAACUGCAGGGCGUGGCACCUCCCUCGGCACGCGCCUGCCACCUCAGAGCGACGUCUGCAGACAGCGGCGCAGGCGCCAGGAGAGGUGGCCGGGAGAGAUGCGUUCCAGAGGGAGAUGCCCGUGUCCACAGUGGCCCCUUUCACACCCGCCCUCCGGCUGCACAUCGGCGAACUCCCCGCUCCCUGCUCCCCUCGCUGCCCUGGCCACUGCGCCUGCCCUCUCCGGGUCUCAGGCUGUGACUGUCUCCUUCCAGAACCCUCCUGUGAGGCUCACUGUCACACCAGAGGCCUGACGCUGUCGUUCCACGGCGGGUCAGCGGGAGGGCGCGGUAGCAGUGCGGGCAGAGUGCCACGCUCGUUCCCAUCACGCUGCACAAGCUGCCUCGUUCAUCCUGCUUGGUGUGCAGGGAGAGGAGAUGUCAUCAGCGGCCCGGGGCUCUCCGCGUGCCCGCUGCACCCUCGGCUUGGGAAGCCACUGUUCCGCACCUCUGUAAGCCCCAGCGUUCUCGUCUGUGAAACGGAGCGGGAAGAGGAGCAACCAUCUCAGGGCCUCAGGGACACGGAAGGCGCAUGCGAGGGAAGGCCUAGCACAGAGCAGCGCAUGCAGCAGCUGUCCUGGAUUCUGCCGCCAGUCAUCGCGGGAGCCACACCCUCCCGUGCUGCACACGGAGCGCAUCCCCCAGCUUCUGGGCGUCCCCCGGUCUCUCCCAUCACACAGUCCAUGGAGAACAUGUGGCUGGGCAGAGUGCAGUGA